rnacentral:rRNA from 1 species
CCUACGGGCGGCUGCAGUGGGGAAUAUUGCACAAUGGGCGCAAGCCUGAUGCAGCCAUGCCGCGUGUGUGAAGAAGGCCUUCGGGUUGUAAAGCACUUUCAGCGGGGAGGAAGGCGGUGAGGUUAAUAACCUCAUCGAUUGACGUUACCCGCAGAAGAAGCACCGGCUAACUCCGUGCCAGCAGCCGCGGUAAUACGGAGGGUGCAAGCGUUAAUCGGAAUUACUGGGCGUAAAGCGCACGCAGGCGGUCUGUCAAGUCGGAUGUGAAAGCCCCGGGCUCAACCUGGGAGCUGCAUUCGAAACUGGCAGGCUAGAGUCUUGUAGAGGGGGGUAGAAUUCCAGGUGUAGCGGUGAAAUGCGUAGAGAUCUGGAGGAAUACCGGUGGCGAAGGCGGCCCCCUGGACAAAGACUGACGCUCAGGUGCGAAAGCGUGGGGAGCAAACAGGAUUAGAUACCCCAGUAGUC